ACACGACUACAUUAGAUACCCGGGUAGUCCAGGGUGUAAGCGCUGCGGGCUUGGUGUUGGGGGUCCUUUGAGGGCGCCCGGUGCCGGAGAGAAGUUGUUAAGCCUGCUGCUUGGGGAGUACGCCCGCAAGGAUGAAACUUAAAGGAAUUGGCGGGGGAGCACCGCAACGGGAGGAGCGUGCGGUUCAAUUGGAUUCAACGCCGGAAAUCUUACCGGGACCGACAGCAACAUGAAGGCCAAGCUGAAGACUUUGCCGGAUUAGCUG
rnacentral:rRNA from 1 species